GGCCGACUAGCUCAGUUGGUUAGAGCGUCGUGCUAAUAUGUCAUUAACGCGAAGGUCUUGGGUUCGAUCCCCACGUUGGCCA